rnacentral:rRNA from 1 species
UACGUAGGUUGCAAGCGUUGUCCGGAUUUACUGGGCGUAAAGAGCGCGCAGGCGGCUGUUCAAGUCGGGUGUGAAAGCCCCCGGCUCAACUGGGGAGGGUCACGCGAUACUGAUCGACUCGAAGGCAGGAGAGGGUAGUGGAAUUCCCGGUGUAGUGGUGAAAUGCGUAGAUAUCGGGAGGAACACCAGUGGCGAAGGCGACUACCUGGCCUGUUUCUUGACGCUGAGGCGCGAAAGCUAGGGGAGCAAACGGG